AACGUAGGUUGCGAGCGUUAUCCGGAUUCAUUGGGCGUAAGGCGCUUGUAGGUGGCCUUGUAAGUUGGACGUGAAAUCUCCCGGCUUAACCGGGCGGGGUCGUUCAAUACUGCAGGGCUGGAGGAUGUCAGAGGGCAGCGGAAUUCCUGGUGUAGCAGUGAAAUGCGUAGAUAUCAGGAGGAACACCGGUGGCGAAGGCGGCAUCCUGGACCGGUAUUGACGCUGAGGCGCGAAAGCUAGGGGAGCAAACGGG
rnacentral:rRNA from 1 species